UACGGAGGGGGCUAGCGUUGUUCGGAAUUACUGGGCGUAAAGCGCGUGUAGGCUGCUCGGAAAGUCGGAUGUGAAAGCCCUGGGCUCAACCUAGGAAGUGCAUUCGAAACUUCCGAGCUGGAGUACUGGAGAGGAAGGCGGAAUUCUCGGUGUAGAGGUGAAAUUCGUAGAUAUCGAGAGGAACACCGGUGGCGAAGGCGGCCUUCUGGACAGUAACUGACGCUGGAGACGCGAAAGCGUGGGGAGCAAACAGG
rnacentral:rRNA from 1 species